GACGAACGCUGGCGGCGUGCUUAACACAUGCAAGUCGAACGGCAAGGCCCUGCUUUUGUGGGGUGCUCGAGUGGCGAACGGGUGAGUAACACGUGAGUAACCUGCCCUUGACUUUGGGAUAACUUCAGGAAACUGGGGCUAAUAUCGGAUAGGAGCUCCUGCUGCAUGGUGGGGGUUGGAAAGUUUCGGCGGUUGGGGAUGGACUCGCGGCUUACCAGCUUGUUGGUGGGGUAGUGGCUUACCAAGGCUUUGACGGGUAGCCGGCCUGGGAGGGUGACCGGCCACAGUGGGACUGGGAUGCGGCCCAGACGCCUACGGGAGGAAGCGGUGGGGAAUAUUGCACAAUGGGCGGAAGCCUGAUGCAGCAACGCCGCGUGCGGAAUGACGGCCUUCGGGUUGUAAACCGCUUUCGCCUGUGACGAAGCGUGAGUGACGGUAAUGGGUAAAGAGGCACCGGCUAACUACGU
rnacentral:rRNA from 1 species